rnacentral:tRNA from 1 species
AAGCCAAUGAGCUUGAAAAUUAAGCAUGUGUUUUGAAACCACAAGAUAGAAAAUUUAUUUUAUUGGCUUU